CGGACGGGUGAGUAACGCGUGAGAAUCUGCCCUCAGGACGGGGACAACAGCUGGAAACGGCUGCUAAUACCCGAUGUGCCGAGAGGUGAAAUGUAAUUCGCCUGAGGAUGAGCUCGCGUCUGAUUAGCUAGUUGGUAGGGUAAGAGCCUACCAAGGCGACGAUCAGUAGCUGGUCUGAGAGGAUGAUCAGCCACACUGGGACUGAGACACGGCCCAGACUCCUACGGGAGGCAGCAGUGGGGAAUUUUCCGCAAUGGGCGCAAGCCUGACGGAGCAAGACCGCGUGCGGGAUGAAGGUCUGUGGACUGUAAACCGCUUUUGAUAGGGAAGAACACAAUGACGGUACCUAUCGAAUCAGCCUCGGCUAACUCCGUGCCAGCAGCCGCGGUAAUACGGAGGAGGCAAGCGUUAUCCGGAAUUAUUGGGCGUAAAGCGUCCGUAGGUGGUGAUGCAAGUCUAUUGUCAAAGCAUGAGGCUUAACCUCAUACCGGCAGUGGAAACUGCAUUGCUAGAGUGCGAUAGGGGCAAGGGGAAUUCCCAGUGUAGCGGUGAAAUGCGUAGAUAUUGGGAAGAACAUCGGUGGCGAAAGCGCCUUGCUGGGUCUGCACUGACACUGAGGGACGAAAGCUAGGGGAGCGAAAGGGAUUAGAUACCCCUGUAGUCC
rnacentral:rRNA from 1 species